rnacentral:rRNA from 1 species
AAAGUAAAAAAUCGUAACAAGGUUUCCGUAGGUGAACCUGCGGAAGGAUCAUUGAUGAGCCCGAGAACGACCGCGAACCCUAUGCUCACGCUCGCGCGUGGCGCCGUCCGCAGGGCAGCGCCCCGCGCACCGCCCGCUCCCGUCGCGGGGCGUGGUGGACGAGGAUCCCACAAGGCGCCGUGCGCGCGCCAAGGAAUGGAAACUUUGUGCGGGGGUCACCGACCCCCGACGAGUCUUGGUAGAACCAAACGACUCUCGGCAACGGAUAUCUCGGCUCUCGCAUCGAUGAAGAACGUAGCGAAAUGCGAUACUUGGUGUGAAUUGCAGAAUCCCGCGAACCAUCGAGUCUUUGAACGCAAGUUGCGCCCGAGGUGGUUCCACCGAGGGCAUGCCUCCCUGGGCUUCACGCAUCGCGUCGCCCCAUCCCGACAUGGUACGGGGUGGGAGCGUAGUGUGGCAUCCCGUGCGCGUAUCCGCGCGUCGGCCUGCCGAAAUGCAUCGCGUUCGGUACUCGGCACAGGACGCCACGAGCGACGGUGGUCGGAUCGUUCCGCUAACCGGCCGUGGUUGGUUCCCGGUGCACGCUGCUACCACGCGCGCGUCCCGUUCGGCGCCGAGCCGCGCCUUCGACCGCGAACCCAGGUGAGGCGGGACCACCCGCUGAGUUUAAGCAUAUCAAUAG